rnacentral:lncRNA from 1 species
UACACCCGUAAGGACGGUGGAAAAUACUUAUGAAAACUAAUAGCCAAAAACAAAAAGAAAAAAACAUUACCCGGGUAUAUUGAAAAUAAGUGUUCAAAGAACGCACAAAAUCACCGAAAAAACGGUUGAAAGAGAACGAAAUAAUAACAACAGUGCAAAAAGUGAAAGAAAGGCGAAAUUCUGAAAUUAUUUUCCACACAAUCGUGCCAAAAUUCAAUCAUUUAAUAACAGCAAACAGUGUUUGAAACGAUCAAUAGCCUAAAAGUAUGCUCGCAAAUACACUUUCAGUGCCAACGCCAGAAUAGUGACGUUUAACAUAAGUAAAAUCUUACAGUAUAAUAUUUACGCAAUAGCAGUGAACUGAAUAUGAAGUCGAACACCAGUCGCUAGGGAGAACCGGUGGAAUUUAACGUUGUAUAGCUGUCACAUUGACCGUCACAACAUCGAGUGUUGCAUAUUUUUGAGAUGUAGUGUAAGCGUAACAGAGGCUUGUAUACUAUUAAGUGCCAAAUUGUGAACAGUGCCACAGAUAAUCUUUGUGAGAUGAAAAAUAAAUGAAAAAAGCCCUAAACAAAGUCUUUAAUAUCACUUCACUGUUGCCAAAUAUAUAAAAGUAUAUAAGAGUAUUUAAAAUAAAAUAUUUAUAGUGAAGCGUGCUUACAAAGAUAACAGUAAAAGCAAACAGUUGUAUGUAGUAUAACCGCCUAAAGCUAUGCUAAAAAAAUAAAACCAUGUCUUAAAUUUCUGUUUAAGUGCGUACACUGCAUUGCCAGUUAACAUUGGAUAUACACAGUUACAUAUAUAUGACUCAAAGUGAGACAAGCGUUAUUUGCUUCAAAGGGAUUUAUUAUUGCAUAUUUUGUCAGUAAUUUAUGUCGCUUAACGGGUCUAUUAAAAAAGACAUUUUACUGCCGAUUCUGGAGUAACUAAACUCAGAGCAUAACUGUAGUUGCAUAUCAGCCGUAAAAACUUUGAGCAACAACAAUCGAAUCACCCUUUUGGGCUGGCACAUAAAACUGGGCAAAUGACGAGGAGAGUAGAUAGUAAAACACAACGUAAUGAAAAUGCUGUUUUAUAUCAGCCAAAACGCCAGAACGAAUAGCAGCAACAUUUAUAAAAACAAGAAAAACAACAAUAGAUGUUUACCAGAUAACAAGCAGCAUUAAAAACCAGUAACAAGACACUUGACAUUCUUUAAAUGUAAUCAAGCGUCAAACAGACAGUAACAGCAACAGAACGCAAUUUAACAAGGCAUACAUUUAGGCGUGAAUAUAUUUUUGUUUUCCACUCUAUUCUUUGAGCUGGUAACUUUUUUACGGCGCAAAUUUGGCGCAUUUUUACGAGCGUUUGACAUAAACAAAUUAACAAAUGGAGUAAGUGAAAAAUAUAUAGAGUGGGAGAAAAACUUAGGAAACCGGCAGCAGCAGCAGCAAAAGCAACAAUACCAACAACAAGGACAACACACAGCUGCUGCAUAAUAAUAAGCACGAAAUCGGCGAAAGCAAAUGAAAUUUAAAUAGACUUCAAUGGCGGCAGCGAAAUUAGACGUGAGUGCGCGCGCCCAAAAGUAGACUUUAAAUGGCAACUCGUGUCGUCCACAUUUCCACACGAAGUGACCUAAAUCAAUUGUUAGCCGCGAAGGGUGACUGCACGGCCUGAAAAGAAAAGCGUUGAAGUUGUGGAGAGUGAAGAUAGGCAAGCCA